rnacentral:pre_miRNA from 1 species
CGUGCACUGGUGGGGUCCCUCAGCCUGGCCUGCACCUUCUCACAAUUUGGGACCCCUCAGGGGAUGUUAGAGAGUCAGUUUCGGCCUGAUCCUGCAGGCCAGGCUGAGGGACCCCACUGGUGCACA